rnacentral:rRNA from 1 species
CCUACGGGGGGCAGCAGUGAGGAAUAUUGGUCAAUGGGCGCGAGCCUGAACCAGCCAAGUAGCGUGCAGGAUGACUGCCCUACGGGUUGUAAACUUCUUUUAUAAAGGAAUAAAGUGAGGCACGUGUGCCUCUUUGUAUGUAUUUUAUGAAUAAGGAUCGGCUAACUCUGUGCCAGCAGCGGCGGUAUAACGGAGGAUCCGAGCGUUAUCCGGAUUUAUUGGGUUUAAAGGGAGCGUAGAUGGGUUGUUAAGUCAGUUGUGAAAGUUUGCGGCUCAACCGUAAAAUUGCAAUUGAUACUGGCAGUCUUGAGUACAGUUGAGGUAGGCGGAAUUCGUGGUGUAGCGGUGAAAUGCUUAGAUAUCACGAAGAACUCCGAUUGCGAAGGCAGCUUACUAAACUGCCACUGACAUUGAUGCUCGAAAGUGUGGGUAUCAAACAGGAUUAGAUACCCGGGUAGUC